rnacentral:antisense_RNA from 1 species
UCCGGAAAUGAGCAUUUUAAUGCAGAAAGAAAACCAUGAUAAUUUACAAAUGAAUCACUUUCUGGGACAGAGCCAGGAAGGCCCCAGGAGCUGUGAGGGCAGAAAGGAGGUGGCUGCUGGGGAAGAUGUCAUGCUCAAUUCUUGGCCCCCACCCAUCACCAAGAUAGGUACAUCCAUGUGUCAGAGUUGGUGUGAUGCUGGUUUGGAGCACAGCACCUCCCACGUGGGGCAUGCAGGGGGAGACGGACUGGAGGCUCAGGGCACUGGAGGUAGAAAGGAGCCCUCCCCGCCUCCUUCCCCAGGCCAGGAAGGGGUAAACACACAUAUAAGGCAGCCCCAAUUCCAGCAGGGCCUGAGGCUGGGAAUGAUGUGUUUCCCAGGGGUGGUUAUGGUUCAGGACCUGGCUGCAGGCACUUCCUCCAAAGCCUGGUGGGGUGAAGGGG